rnacentral:tRNA from 2 species
GCCCCGGUAGCUCAGCUGGAUAGAGCGGCCCCCUCCUAAGGGGCAGGUCGAAGGUUCGAAUCCUUUCUGGGGCGCAA